rnacentral:rRNA from 1 species
UGGGGAAUCUUCCGCUUUGGACGAUAGUCGGACGUCGCAGCGCCGCGUGAAAGAUGAUUUCUUCGGGUUGCUAGCUCUGUUAAGCGUCCAUAAUGUCUCUUGUGCGAAUAGUGCGAGUUUUUGACAGACACCGGAAUCCAAAGCGACGGCGCUUUGCGUGCCUAAUUCGCGACAAAUACGUGCCACGGACAGCGUUGUGCGGAAUUAUGGGCGGUAAAGCGCGCGCAGUUUCUNUUCCGAGACUGUCUUUCAGUUCGGAUUCGCCCCCGUGAUGUCAUGGAAACUGCCAGAGCUUAGCAUCGGAAAGGAAAGCGUAAUUCAUAGNNUGGGGGGNAAAUGCACUUAUAUUAAUUGGAACAGAUUCGGCGAAGGUGACUUUCUGGACGAGAACUGAUGCUGAGGCGCGAAAGCCAGUUCAGCGAAUGGUAUUACAUAUUACGAUUGUCUUGCCCGNCNUUUACAANUACUAGGUGUAGGAGGUAUCGACCCCUUCUGUGCCGGAGUUAAACGCAAUAAGUACCCCGCCUGGGGAGUACGACCGCAAGGUUG